CUACGGAUUAGAUUGUUUCAAAUUUCUAUGCUGACGAAUAUCUUUUAUAUUUUACCCUUAUAAUGACCAGCUGAUUUUUCAUUUUCCGAUUUCUGAUUGAAUUCUUUUUUGUGUAGAGUGGGGAUUAUUUCAUAAACCACUCGCGAUAUGUACGAAAGUUCUUAUAGCUGUUCUCAACAAACUAGUGCCGAGGAAAAUAAGAGACAUAAUUUGGGUUGCUGGACCG